AGAAGCCAAACGACUCAUUGACGAGAGGUCAGUCCUGUGCCAAAAGGCUAACCCAGUGAGGCACAGAUUCUUCCUGAGUCCACAAAUGGCUCAGGCUUGGCUCCUUGCAGUUUGUGUUUUCUUCUGCCUCAGACCAGGAGUAGAUGCCGUUAGAUGCAGCAGUUGCGCUACUGGGAAUCAAUGUGACAAUCCUCGAAAGACAUGUGAGGAUCUAGGCUGCGUAGUUCUCAAACUAUAUGACGGUUGUAAGUUGCUUUUUAAACAGAUGACCUGUUAUCAUUACAAAUUCCGGAAAUGUGGAAAGAAAGGGAUACUUCCAGUGUCUGCAUACGAUUAUGAAUAUAUCUGUUGUUCAGAUCGGGACUUUUGUUCUGAUAAUCUGUAGACUGAGAGUAAACUGAGAGUCGUGGAUGAA